CAUAUGUUGAUUCUUAUCAAGUUGGUGGGCAGGCAAUCUUUUCUACUCCAUAUAUUGCAUUUAUAUCUGUAAUGAUUAACCCUAAUGGUCUCAGAUCAGCAGUAGAAAGAAGUAGGCCUAAUUAUUUUAGGUGUAAUCUUCAAAGAUAUUAGGGGGAAAUAAACACUGUACCCAAAUCCACGUUUUACAAUGCUCCUGGGAAAUGGGUAGGCCUCCACCUAUAGUCCUUCACAGUUUUACAGGUGUGAUAUAUUUAUUUAUUUACAUAGAUCACAUACAUAAAUAAAUAUGUUAGCUGUAGGUAGCGUUGAGAUCAAAUUCCCAUAUUCUAUUGCUACUAAACAUAUAUCAUGUUUUCCUCAUUUGCUCUGUAGGAGGUUCGUCAUAUGAAGGACAUUCAAGUGGAUGUGACCCCGAACCUGCAAUAGGGGCUCAGUGAGGUGACAGACAUCCUGUAAUGGAUCUCAGCUAGUGUCUGAGGACCUGGAGAAGGCUGUGUCUACAGCUGUGGGGCAGGACAAGUAUGGUAACCUAACCUCACUGUAUGAAGGAUUUUAUUGUUAUGGAUAGUCAUCUCUAAUCUGUUCAAAUAUCACUGUUGUUGAUAACACACAUUACCAAAAUGAUUCACACUUGUCUUCCUAUUUCCACAUAAUCUGUCAUGGUUCCCCACCCCAACAGGGCAUAAAACCAACCUCUCUUUAUUGCUACUGCUAAUACACCCAAAUCCAACAGCGUUUGAGUAUCUUUUUGCUUUUCUUCUAACCCUGAAUGGCAACAUUUUAUCCUAGUACACAAGCAUGUCACUUUAUCCAUCCACACCCACUCUACUGCCGCAUGGCCACUGCGGCUGAGACUUUCACCCUCUCGUUACAGGUAUAGCAGGUAACCAACCCCACCCGGGUCUUACCCCCUAGGACUUACCCUUUGCUACCGGCUACCACCGGUCGUAAUACAAUGGGACUACUGAAUAAGCUCAGGCUUUCUAGUCUGAACAGGCCGUUCUUCUCUUUCCUCAACUAAUUGAAACGUCAGGGACAGACAUCCUGAACGACUCUGAUGUCAGACCUCCCAUCAGCCCUCUACACCUCGCUGCGUACCACAGUCACCACCAUGCUAUGGAGGUCCUGGUUCAGUCUCUGCUGGAUCUAGACGUGAGGGACCCCUCUGGACCUGGCUGCCUUAAAAAGCCAUGUGGAGUGUGUUGACGUCCUGAUCAACCAGGAAGCCUCCAUCCUGGUUAAAGACUUCACUCUGAAGAGGACCCCCCAUCCA